rnacentral:rRNA from 1 species
GACGAACCGUGCGAACGUUAUUCGGAAUCACUGGGCUUAAAGCGCGUGUAGGCGGGCGGGAACGUCGGUUGCUGAAAGCCCCCGGCUCAACCGGGGAACGGGCGCCGAAACGACCCGCCUCGAGGGACGUAGGGGGACCUGGAACUUCCGGUGGAGCGGUGAAAUGCGUUGAGAUCGGAAGGAACCCCUGUGGCGAAAGCGGCUCACUGGACCACAACUGACGCUGAGGCGCGAAAGCUAGGGGAGCAAACAGG